CCUACGGGAGGCAGCAGUAGGGAAUCUUUCACAAUGGGCGAAAGCCUGAUGGAGCAACUCCGCGUGCAGGAUGAAGGCCUUCGGGUUGUAAACUGCUUUUAUAAGCGAGAAAUAUGAUGGUAACUUAUGAAUAAGGAUCGGCUAACUACGUGCCAGCAGCCGCGGUCAUACGUAGGAUCCGAGCAUUAUCCGGAGUGACUGGGUGUAAAGAGUUGCGUAGGUGGCAUAAUAAGUAGCUAGUGAAAUCUGGUGGCUCAACCAUUCAGACUAUUAGCUAAACUGUUAAGCUCGAGACCGUUAGGGGUAACUGGAAUUUCUAGUGUAGGAGUGAAAUCCGUAGAUAUUAGAAGGAACACCAGUAGCGUAGGCAGGUUGCUGGGACGGUUCUGACACUAAGGCACGAAAGCGUAGGGAGCAAACGGGAUUAGAUACCCCUGUAGUC
rnacentral:rRNA from 1 species